AGGGGCUUAGGAUAAACUAGACCAAGGGCCUUCAAAGCCCUCAGCGGAGGUGAAAAUCCUCCAGCCCCUG
rnacentral:tRNA from 10 species